AUCUAUCUGACGAGUCCCAAAUAGGACGAAGCGUGCGUCUUAGAU
rnacentral:hammerhead_ribozyme from 1 species